rnacentral:rRNA from 1 species
AUGGCUCAGGAUGAACGCUAGCGGCAGGCUUAAUACAUGCAAGUCGAGGGGCAGCAUGAAGUAGCAAUACUUUGAUGGCCGACCGGCAAACGGGUGCGGAACACGUACACAACCUUCCUUUAAGUGGGGAAUAGCCCAGNGAAAUUUGGAUUAAUACCCCGUAACACAACGAAGUGGCAUCACUUUGUUGUUAUAGUUUCGGCGGUAUAAGAUGGGCAUGCGUCCUAUUAGCUAGAUGGUAAGGUAACGGCUUACCAUGGCUACGAUAGGUAGGGGGCCUGAGAGGGUGGUCCCCCACACUGGUACUGAGACACGGACCAGACUCCUACGGGAGGCAGCAGUGAGGAAUAUUGGUCAAUGGGCGCAAGCCUGAACCAGCCAUGCCGCGUGCAGGAAGAAUGCCCUCUGGGUUGUAAACUGCUUUUAUUUGGGAAUAAACCUUUCUACGUGUAGAAAGCUGAAGGUACCAAAUGAAUAAGCACCGGCUAACUCCGUG